UACGGAGGGUGCAAGCGUUAUCCGGAAUCAUUGGGUUUAAAGGGUCCGUAGGCGGGCUAAUAAGUCAGGGGUGAAAGUUUGCAGCUCAACUGUAAAAUUGCCUUUGAUACUGUUAGUCUUGAAUUAUUGUGAAGUGGUUAGAAUGUGUAGUGUAGCGGUGAAAUGCAUAGAUAUUACACAGAAUACCGAUUGCGAAGGCAGAUCACUAACAAUAUAUUGACGCUGAUGGACGAAAGCGUGGGGAGCGAACAGG
rnacentral:rRNA from 1 species